rnacentral:rRNA from 1 species
ACGGAGGGUCCAAGCGUUAUCCGGAAUCAUUGGGUUUAAAGGGUCCGUAGGCGGGAUAAUAAGUCAGUGGUGAAAGUCUGCAGCUCAACUGUAGAAUUGCCAUUGAUACUGUUGUUCUUGAAUUAUUAUGAAGUGGUUGGAAUGAGUAGUGUAGCGGUGAAAUGCAUAGAUAUUACUCAGAACACCUAUUGCGAAGGCAGAUCACUAAUAAUAUAUUGACGCUGAGGGACGAAAGCGUAGGUAGCGAACAGG